AACAAUGCAAACCUGUACUAGCCUGUGAUGACACAGAAGUUACUUGGCACAGCAGCAGAUGCAGAGCACACCCCAGUGCCCAAGACAGUGAGAUCUGCUGGCCAGACUUCAACACAACCUUCUUGAAGAACUGAGGGCAGAGCCACAUCUUGGUGGUUAAUUAGCCCUCCCUACCAGGGUGAAGGAGGUGGAGGAUGCUCCUUGGUACUAGGGUCCUCCUAUGUCCUGGGACAGAUACAGGAAUACCACCGGUCAGGGGCUGCUGCCUGCUGACUGUGGGAUGGACUGUAAAUCACUACCAGCCUUAUGGAAAAUGUGAAACAUUCAGAAAUGCCAAAAAGAAAGAGACAGAGGAAAAGACAUUGGAGAUGCCUCAGAAUAGCCUGAAUACCAAAGCUGAAGCUUUACAUUUCUUGUUUCAUGUUAAAACAUUGAGUUAUGGCAACACCGUUUGAGAAUAUUGUUGCUUAGUUUUCCCUAGCCCUUUCUGUGGAUGAUAGCGUUGUCAAAUAAUCCUCUAUAUAUUUCUGUGAGUUCUUAAAAUCUCCACUAAUCUCAUUUUGAUUGGUUUAGGGUAUAUUACAUUUCAGAGCACCUUAGUCCAGAUGCCCCACAUACAAUCCCGUUUUCAGUUCUAUUCUGAAGUAAGUCUAUUGUGUUGAGCUCCAGGUCUACUUGUCUGUUGGAGAGUUUGACACAAUGACAUCUGCUCUGAAAAUCCCAUUGAAGUUCAGGUCUUCAUGCAACUUUCAUACAUGCCUCAAUCUGUUAAACUUUUUCAGAAUGCUGGAAGCAUGAGUGUACCCAGGUUGGGUAACGAAGGAAGCCUACUAAAUUCCGUUCAAGUGCCUGUCCUAAUCCAGGUGAUUGCUAAGAAAAGAACAGCAAAUAAUUAUUUGAAAAAUGAGAUACAAUCAUGGGUUCUUCAAGAAUGUAAGAAAAAGAUAACCUGAUGGAUGAGUUAAUAGGCACACAUCUAUUCAGACAGGCACACAGGGAUGGAUGAGCCUGAUGCCUGUGAAGCAAUCACUCAUUAGACAUGUUAGCUAUUAUUAUUAUUAUUAUCUGUUUGUGCUACAUAGCACUAGGAGCCUCCUGCUGAGACUUCAAUGCCAUUGUGCACACAGUAAGAGAGUACUGACAGCCUCAACACAUUUCCAGACUCAGUGGUCAGAGGUCAGCAAAUAAUUGCAUUAUUUGUGCACAGGGGGUGGAGGCACCCAAAGAUGAAACAACUUGCUCCUCAAUUUGUCAGUGAUGCUUCAAGGAGGAGUCAUUCUAAGGCUGCUGGAUGACUUCUGGUAGCCAGGCAAGUUUGGGCAUUCUUUCAUAAUGUUGUUGUGCUAUAUUCUUGUUGUGUUGUAGUUGUGUUGUUGGAUUCUCAAAUUGGAUUCUCCCAUAAGAGAAAUAAUUUCCAUGACUUUCCUUUAAAUUAUGAGCGGAAUAUCAAAUACAUGUGGUGUACAUGUGGUUCCAGCAACUGUGCCUGGAAUAGAUUUCUCAAAGUUUCAGCUCAUGGAAAAAACCUAGUUGUCUUUCUUGUUGCAUUUUCACUUGUAUUUGUCUCUCCUUUUAGCCUGCUGUUAGAGACUUAUGGAGAAAAGGAAUGCUUCCCAAAGAAAGACAGAUGAGAUAAGUUACCAAAUUAGUUCAUUUCAGUUGCUUUUGUUCAAGUGACAGUUCUAAAGGACAGCAGGCUAAAUGACUCAGAAGUGUGAGAAGAAUUUGAGUACAAUUUAUUAUCUUGACAUCCUUUAUAUAAUCUUUGUUUUGUGCUGUACUUCAGAAACUGUCUCAUUAAAUAAAUUUCCAAACAUUUCAUUAUUUUCUUUACCUAAAUCUAUUUUUAAGCAAUUUCUUUUUCACCAUGGGAAGAUUAAUUUUUUGACAGACGUCUGAGGACUGUGCACAGGAUUUUUAUAUACCUCUUCAUCACAUGCCACAUACACCUGCACAGGGGUGUAUGUGUGCGCCCCUAAGCAGGGGCACCUGUCUUAGAAUUGCUGUUUUAAUGGGUUUUGUCAACUUUUGGCCCCCACCUUUUUUUAGAUUUGAGUUCUGCUGGCAAGUUCAUAUGCAUUGUAUUCCCUUACAUCUUUGUCUUUUGAUUCAGUUUAUCCCAGUAUUGGUGAUUGGCAUAGUUUUUAGUUUUCCUUUUCUCUCCCUGUCAAGGUCAGAUUUUAGGAGCCAGACUGGCAGAGCGAAGCAGCAGCAUGCUAUUUCCCUGUGCCUCUGAAGGUUGCAGGGGGUACAGGCAAUAAAAAACCACAUCAGAGCUGCCUCAGAAUGACAGGCCCAGAUCUGAGACUUUUGACAGCUUUUAUCUGUGCUGCUUGAACUGAAUCAGAUUUGGCAUCACCUUUAUCUACAAUUAAACAAGAAGUUGACUUUAAUAAGAGCACAAAGAGAGACUGCAGUGCUGGCCUGGCAUAAAAAGGUGUAGAAAAAGCCAUUUCAAAUCUUGACAAUAGACACAGAGACCAAAAACUUGAAUAUCCUAAUGGUCUACACCUCCUAUUCUAUGCUUUGUAUAAAUGUUUCCUUUGCAGUCUAAUUUAUUCCACCAUUUUUAAAAAGUUCAUGUGAAAGAAAAGCAGAGCAUAUGUAACGAUACAAUUCACAUUUUGCCAUUAAUCACAUGUACAUGUACACAUGUUUUUGCUUAUCUUACAUAAGAAUAUCUACAGUGGGUCAAAUCAUCUGCUUUCCAGUAGUGGUCAAAAAGCUUGGGGCACUCUAUGGGAACAAAUACAUAUAGUAUUUUUCUGAUGAUUCUCUCAGCCCAUUACCAUCUGCCCUUCAGGCACCUCCUGAACUGGGAGUUGUUUCCAUGAAAUUAGCAACUCCUGGUGCAUUUCUCUUCCGUGAAAUUCUCAAGCCUCUCCUUGAAGCCAUGUAAGAUUUUACCAUCCAUGACUCGUGGUGAGGAAUUCUGCCCCUCAACUGCAACACCACCUGCAAGAAGAGUCUCUUUUUUUAUUUGAGACUAAUUUCUGGCAGCCUCAUUUGAUGUACCAACUACCACAAUAUGGUGCCUUAGGGAGCUACAGUGGGAAAAGCUCUGGUAAUGGAAUGUAGCACUUUGUAGGAGGCUAUGUUUUUUAGUGUUGGGUCCCAAGUGAGAGCUCCGCUUCUUCAUAAAAUGUCUUAAGAGUAUGAAAGUGUAACCAAUCUAGUGAGGGGAAGGAGGUUUGCCUCCCGUUAUCAGAACUGAUAUGGUUAUAUAUAACUCUAACACUUCUCCUGCUCUGUUUUUCAGGUUCAGUAUGCUUCUGGUCUCAUAGUUUGGGAAACCAGAUACUGCAAGGAUUGUUACAUUUAAAUAAACAUUUUAAUGCUUGCUAUAAUACUGCAGCUACGUCAUAACCAGAAAACAUGGAUUUUAAUAAUGUAAUAGUAAAGUUCACAGAGUUGCCUCUGCAAGGUAACCCCUCCCUUUGUAUGCCUCUCUGCAACCUCCCUUGAUCACGGUACUUGUCCAGUUGGAUCACUGUACUGAAAUGCCUGGUCAUCGGUGUUGAGAGGUUUUGUGUCAAUGAGAGAUGGCAAGGCAGCACUAUUGAGGACUGAGCCCAGCAGCUGUAGAGGCCAACACUUCCACUCCUGCCCUACCAGCAAAGGCUCUGAGAUGCCUUGUGGAAUGGGAGAUUACCAGCAUGAAUGAAAACCUAAUGGUGGACUGAUGGCUGUAAGGAAUUCAGUUCUUCAUGUACCGCAUCAAAGACUGAGAGCAAGAAUACAGAUCCCUUUGGAGAUCCUUGCUCUGACUGAACCACAUUUCUGAUAACCUAUUGCAAACAAAUACUCCAUGCUGCAAUGUUCCUUCCAAGAAAGCAUGUGAUGAUACACGGCUACGGAAACUGAUGUUGCCAAACUGGAGGGAGUCUCAAAGAAGGGGCUGCCAUCCAGAGGGACUGAGUCAGGCUGGAUGAAUGAGCCACAAGAUUCAACAAGGAGGAAUGCUGAGUCCUACCUGUAGGAAGGAAAAAUACCUCCAACAACACAGGCUGAGGAUUGACUAGGGGGGAUGCUCUGUAGCAAAGGCUCUGGGGAUCCUGUUGGGCAGCGAGCAGGACAUGGGCCAGCAGUGACUCCUGACUGCAAAGGUGGCCAAUGGCAACCUGGACACAGUGGAAUAUGAUGAGGAUGAGAGGUUGGAAAGGAAACAAGAAGGGCUUCUAAGGCUGCAUCAUGAGUAAAAGAAAGGUGAGAGGAAAUGUGGCCCACCUCCAGAGAACAAGGAAAAGACUGAGAUACUCAAUAACUUCUUCACCUCAGACCUUACUGGUACAAUACGUCAUCAGGAAAUCCUGAGAAUCAUGGGAAUGACUGGACCAAGAACUACUAGCCUUUAGCAGAGAGGAAUCCAGUUAGGGAACCCUUAACAAACUGAACAUACAUAAGUUCAUGGGAUCAAUGUUAUAGGAAGCACCCACAGGGUUGAGAGAGUUGGUCAGUGUAAUUCAAGAGCACUCUUGAUUAUAUCAGAGAAAUUGUGGUGGUUGGGACAGGUUUCUGAGGACUGGAGGAAAGCAAAUUACACUUUUGCCUUCAAGAAGGGUACGAAGGAGGUUUUGGGGAACUACAGACUGAUUAAACUCAUCUUAAUCUCUGGGAAGGUGAUGGAGCAAAUCCUCCUGAAAACCACUUCCAGACACAUGAAGGACAAGGUGGUGAUAGGGAGUAUUCAGCAUGGAUUUACAAAGAGGAAGUUGACCAAUCUGAUAGCCUUCUGCAAUGAAAAGACAGGCUCUGUAGCUGGGGAGAGAGCAGUUGAUGUCGUCUGUCUCAAUUUCACCAAGACUUUCAACACUGUCUCACAUAACACCCUCAUAGACACACAGAUGUCAUACUAGACAAGUGGACUGUGAGGUGGACUGUGAAAACUGUCUGACAGAUUUGUAGUCAGCAGCACAAAGUCCUCUGAUUUAGAUACAAAACCCCCUUGUGUUUCACACACAUUCAUGACCAGGUAGUAGGGUCUAUGGACUGGAGUGUUUUUUCA